UACGUAGGGGGCAAGCGUUGUCCGGAAUCAUUGGGCGUAAAGAGCGCGUAGGCGGUCCGGUAAGUCCGCUCUGAAAGUCCGGGGCUCAACCCCGGGAGGCGGGCGGAUACUGUCGGGCUAGAGUCCGGAAGAGGCGAGUGGAAUUCCUGGUGUAGCGGUGAAAUGCGUAGAUAUCAGGAGGAAUACCGGUGGCGCAGGCGGCUCUCUGGACCGCAACUGACGCUGAGACACGAAAGCGUGGGUAGCAAACAGG
rnacentral:rRNA from 1 species